AUGAGAAGCUUGCUUCUCUGAUGUUAGCGGCGGACGGGUGAGUAACACGUGGGUAACCUACCUAUAAGACUGGGAUAACUCCGGGAAACCGGGGCUAAUACCGGAUAAUAUUUUGAACCGCAUGGUUCAAUAGUGAAAGACGGUUUCGGCUGUCACUUAUAGAUGGACCCGCGCCGUAUUAGCUAGUUGGUAAGGUAACGGCUUACCAAGGCGACGAUACGUAGCCGACCUGAGAGGGUGAUCGGCCACACUGGAACUGAGACACGGUCCAGACUCCUACGGGAGGCAGCAGUAGGGAAUCUUCCGCAAUGGGCGAAAGCCUGACGGAGCAACGCCGCGUGAGUGAUGAAGGUCUUCGGAUCGUAAAACUCUGUUGUUAGGGAAGAACAAAUUUGUUAGUAACUGAACAAGUCUUGACGGUACCUAACCAGAAAGCCACGGCUAACUACGUGCCAGCAGCCGCGGUAAUACGUAGGUGGCAAGCGUUAUCCGGAAUUAUUGGGCGUAAAGCGCGCGUAGGCGGUUUCUUAAGUCUGAUGUGAAAGCCCACGGCUCAACCGUGGAGGGUCAUUGGAAACUGGGAAACUUGAGUGCAGAAGAGGAGAGUGGAAUUCCAUGUGUAGCGGUGAAAUGCGCAGAGAUAUGGAGGAACACCAGUGGCGAAGGCGGCUCUCUGGUCUGUAACUGACGCUGAUGUGCGAAAGCGUGGGGAUCAAACAGGAUUAGAUACCCUGGUAGUCCACGCCGUAAACGAUGAGUGCUAAGUGUUAGGGGGUUUCCGCCCCUUAGUGCUGCAGCUAACGCAUUAAGCACUCCGCCUGGGGAGUACGACCGCAAGGUUGAAACUCAAAGGAAUUGACGGGGACCCGCACAAGCGGUGGAGCAUGUGGUUUAAUUCGAAGCAACGCGAAGAACCUUACCAAAUCUUGACAUCCUUUGACCGCUCUAGAGAUAGAGUCUUCCCCUUCGGGGGACAAAGUGACAGGUGGUGCAUGGUUGUCGUCAGCUCGUGUCGUGAGAUGUUGGGUUAAGUCCCGCAACGAGCGCAACCCUUAAGCUUAGUUGCCAUCAUUAAGUUGGGCACUCUAGGUUGACUGCCGGUGACAAACCGGAGGAAGGUGGGGAUGACGUCAAAUCAUCAUGCCCCUUAUGAUUUGGGCUACACACGUGCUACAAUGGAUAAUACAAAGGGCAGCGAAUCCGCGAGGCCAAGCAAAUCCCAUAAAAUUAUUCUCAGUUCGGAUUGUAGUCUGCAACUCGACUACAUGAAGCUGGAAUCGCUAGUAAUCGUAGAUCAGCAUGCUACGGUGAAUACGUUCCCGGGUCUUGUACACACCGCCCGUCACACCACGAGAGUUUGUAACACCCGAAGCCGGUGGAGUAAUC
rnacentral:rRNA from 2 species